CCUACGGGAGGCAGCAGUGGGGAAUUUUGGACAAUGGGCGCAAGCCUGAUCCAGCAAUGCCGCGUGAGUGAAGAAGGCCUUCGGGUUGUAAAGCUCUUUUGUCAGGGAAGAAACGGUGGAGGUUAAUACCUUCUGCUAAUGACGGUACCUGAAGAAUAAGCACCGGCUAACUACGUGCCAGCAGCCGCGGUAAUACGUAGGGUGCAAGCGUUAAUCGGAAUUACUGGGCGUAAAGCGUGCGCAGGCGGUUGUGCAAGACAGAUGUGAAAUCCCCGGGCUCAACCUGGGAAUUGCAUUUGUGACUGUACGGCUAGAGUGUGUCAGAGGGGGGUAGAAUUCCACGUGUAGCAGUGAAAUGCGUAGAGAUGUGGAGGAAUACCGAUGGCGAAGGCAGCCCCCUGGGAUAACACUGACGCUCAUGCACGAAAGCGUGGGGAGCAAACAGGAUUAGAUACCCUGGUAGUCCACGCCCUAAACGAUGUCUACUAGUUGUCGGGUCUUUAUUGACUUGGUAACGCAGCUAACGCGUGAAGUAGACCGCCUGGGGAGUACGGUUCGCAAGAUUAAAACUCAAAAUUGAAUUGACGGG
rnacentral:rRNA from 1 species